UACAGAGGUGGCAAGCGUUGUUCGGAAUUACUGGGCGUAAAGGGCGCGUAGGCGGUCCGAUAAGUCCCGUGUGAAAUCCCUCGUCUCAACUGAGGAAUGGCACGGGAAACUGCCGGGCUUGAGUUCGGGAGAGGGAAGCGGAAUUCCGGGUGUAGCGGUGAAAUGCGUAGAUAUCCGGAGGAACACCGGUGGCGAAGGCGGCUUCCUGGACCGACACUGACGCUGAGGCGCGAAAGCUAGGGGAGCAAACGGG
rnacentral:rRNA from 1 species